rnacentral:sRNA from 1 species
CAUCAGGACAAGUACAGCACAGGCAGCUACAGUGGGAGCUUUCUCCACACCACUCCGUCCCUGUACCUCAACCCUGACCUGGAGGGACCACCUCUAGAG